CCUGCAACUAGGAGCAGCCUGUGCAGCACCUGCUGUGUGGAGGAGGGAAACCCCAGCCUGAGAUGCUCGGGCGGGGGCUGGGCGCUGAGACGGGAGGCUCUGGAGGAAAUCAGCUGCCCUGCGCAGGGCGCCUGCGCUGUUUCCAUGACGACCCGUCUCCCAGCCCUGGGCCUUUCAGCUGCUCCCCAUCCCAGUUAACCCCAGAUGAGAACCAGCCAUCACAGCCCACGGAGCCCUGGUAA
rnacentral:lncRNA from 1 species